rnacentral:rRNA from 1 species
AAACAUGUCUUUAUGUUGUUUAUUUAAAGUCUAACCUGCCCACUGAAUAAUUUUGAAUGGCCGCAGUAUUUUGACUGUGCAAAGGUAGCAUAAUCAUUAGUCUUUUAAUUGAAGGCUGGAAUGAACGGUUGGACGAAGUAUAAGCUGUUUCAUAUAAAUUUAUUAUAGAAUUUUAUAUUUUAGUUAGAAAGCUAAAAUUUUAUUAAAAGACGAGAAGACCCUAUAAAUCUUUAUAUUUACUAUUAUUUAAAUUUUUUGGAUUUAUUUUAUUUUUAUAAUAUUAAUUAUUUUGUUGGGGUGAUAUUAAAAUUUAAUGAACUUUUAAUUAUUUAAAUCAUUGAUUUAUGAUUUAUUGAUCCAUUAAUACUGAUUAUAAGAUUAAGUUACUUUAGGGAUAACAGCGUAAUUUUUUUUGAGAGUUCAUAUUGACAAAAAAGUUUGCGACCUCGAUGUUGGAUUAAGAUAUAAAUUUGGGUGCAGUUGUUCAAAUGUUAAGUCUAUUCGACUUUUAAAUUCUUACAUGAUC